rnacentral:RNase_P_RNA from 1 species
AAGGCAGGCUAUCUUAUUGCUCUUGUUUACAAGAGAGGAAAGUCCGGACACCAAAGAGCAGCAUAGCGGGUAACGCCCGUCAUCCGUCAUAACGGAUAGGACAAGUGCAACAGAAAGCAAGUACAGUUNGGCUGUAGUGAAAUCANGUAAACUCUAUGCGGUGCAACGCCAAGUANAAUUGUGUUUGAGAGUGGCUCGCUCGAUACAAUUGGGUAGGCGGCUAGAACUUUACAGNAAUGUAANGUCCAGAUAAAUAAUAAGACUUGACAGAAUCCGGCUUACAGGCCUGCCUUUUUU